AGAUUCUCGCAUGCUUCGGGGAUUCGCAGUAUCGUGGUUGCAUUUGUUGUGGGCAUUGUUAAUGUUUUCAAACACCUAAAGGCUGACCAGGUAGAGGUACAUCUGUUUUCUUCAACCAGAAUGAAGGCAGUGUUUCAUCUUUGUGGCCCUCGCAUAUGAGCUUAUGUAGAAUUUGAAUUUUCCAUAAGCUGUUUGUCUGUCUACUUGGAUUCACUCAGGUUUUCAAGAUGGCUCUCAAAAAGGAGUGUACUACAAGGUGCAGGCGAAAAUCAUCGCUUAUGCUGUUAGAUAGUAGGUUCAUUUCAAGGAUUCUAGAAAUUGUACCAGUUCCAGUCUGGAUCCAGCCUAACUUGUGAACACCACAGAAGACAUCAAAGCUACAGAGUUUAAAUAACUAGAACUGGACAAACAGA